UUUCAGAUAACCCUUCGAUAUGCCUCAGCCCUAACUCAUUCAAAGACCCCUAAGCUGUUUCAGAGAACUCCUUCUUCAAACAUUAACUCGUUCAAACCCAAACCCUAACAGUCUCUUCAUUGUGCCUCACCCUAACCCCCUCUUCGUUGUGCCGUCGCAAAUCCUCUGUCGAUGCUCCCUCUGCUGCCGCUCCCUUCCGUCGCUGCUAACCCCUAACCCCUCCGCUGCAGCUCUCUCUGGCGCCGAUCCCUUCCUCGUGCAGCGGCCUUUCCAUCGAUGCUUCAUUGCUGGUUUUAAGAGCAGGUAAACCCUAAAUCAUUAUCAAUGGUGAUAAGUGAGUGAGGAUUUGCGAGUUGGCGACGAGUUACCGAGUUAGGUUUUAAAAAUUCGCUCAUCCAUGGCUCGGAGCUUGUCUUGUUCGCGUUCACCUUCCCACAGAAGAAGAUACUCUCGUUCCCCUGGUUCUCACCAUCAUGCUCACUCUCACUCUCGAAGGGAUCGAACAUCCUCAAGGAGAAGAAGCCGAUUCCCUAGCCACAGGCGCCGCAGAAGCAGAACGCAGUCACCGUCUUCGCCAAGGCGCCACACAAGGCACAGAAGCAGAAGCACUUCCUCGCCCUCUCCUCCUCCUCCUAAAUCGCGCAGUCCUAGUGUCGUUGCGAACCAUCACAAGCUCAAAAAAGACGAAGAAGAAAAGAGAAGGUAACUGAUUUUUGUUAUUUAUCCCUUCAUUUAUUUAUCUAUUUUGUAGUUUGUGUUCGUGAUUUUGUUCCUGAAUUGGUUGAUAAUUUAGUGUGUAAUGUUGGUGAGAAAAUGUGAAAUGAAGAGAAUUCUUGGUAGAUCUUUUGGAAUGAAUUUCCUUCUUCUCUGAGGGUAAGUGAUGCCAAUUUGAAAAUGCAACAGAAUAAAACCUUGUUUGAUUCCUAAGCAUUGAAAUUUCUGGCCUCAGAAUUAUUAAAACAUAUUGGAGUCUAUAAAUAAAACCUUUUCUCUUGCUUAGAGGUUUGUACCCUGAGAUUUUGUCAUGGUAAUUUAAUACUUCACCUACUAGUAUGCAGAAUUAGUCCUAAAAAUUCAAUGUCACUUUUGUUUGGUUAUGUUAUUUCAUAAAUUGCUAGCCAUCUAGCUACCUCUCUUUGGAAUAAUUUUCGCAAUGUGAAUAUUUGGCUAUUUGGUUUCUUCUCAAAUUGUAGAAUAGAAAGAAUGAUUUUAAUUGUCCGCACAGCGAGGGGGUGUCCUCAUGUUGUUGUUGCUUUUAAUUGUUUGCUUUGGGGACCAACUCUUCUUUCCCUUGGUGUCACACUACUUGUGCCCAUUAUUUUAUAUCCAUCCUUUUCAUUUGGCUACAACUCUUAUUUCUUUAAAAACCAUGAUCGAUUGUUGACACAGCAAAGCACCACCCAUCACAUAUAUUUUGGGCAAGGGGACCUUGUUACAUAUUUUGCAAAGUGGACUAACUAAAAUUUGUUAAGAUCAGAUUUGGUGCAACCUUUUUGCUAUUCGUAUACUAUGUAAUGAUAUAUUGAUUUUUCUCGAUUUCUUUUUCAGGUCAGUGUAUGCUUUUUAAAUCAAAUAAAGUCGAGCAUGGUCAAUGUUAUUUUAUUGCCAAUAGUUAAUUUUAAGGGUGAUAUUUAAAGAAGGGGUUCUUUGUAAGUAGAAUAAAAGAAACAAAGUUUUUUGUUGCUGAAAGGAGGAGUUACUAUUACAUUGUUUUGCUAUUUUCUUGCUCAAGGGAGAAAAAGUGUGGAGAUUUCUUCUUGGCCCAUCAAUUAUUUGAUGAGGUUAGAAGCUAUGGAUUAUUCAUUCUUUGUUUCUUUCAACUUUAAUUUGUUGCUGAAAUUCAGUGGAUUUAUAUCUAUUUAUAUCUAUAGAAAAAAAGAACAAUUAUUAAUGAAUGGUAGGCCAUGGAGUCCACGUUCAGUUGUCGGACAUUGCAGUUGCAUGUGGUCUUGUAACAUUUUUGUUACUUUUUCUAUAUUUGCAUGAAUUUUAUUUUGUUUUAUUAAGUGACGAAUUAUACUUAUCUUUUUAAUUUAUUACACAUAUGCUAAUUUCUCUAGGAAGAGAUGAUGAUAUUAUGAAUUGUGAUACUAAUUAUUAUGAACCUGAAAAGCUUACACUAUUGGUUAUUCUUUCGUAUGUGAUGCUGUGGAUGGUUGGGCCACUCGCAAAUUCAAUCAAGUGUCGACCUUCGUAGCUGUUCUGGACAUGGUUAGUUGGUUACAGACAGGUUAUACAAACAGCACAAAUACUUAUGAAUAGUUGAAUAACGAUUGCUAUUAAACUACUUCAGUUCUGUUGAUUACUUAUUUGAGAUAUCCAUCUUUAUAGGAUGUCUUAGUAUAUUUUCAUCACUUCAUGCAAAUCUAGUGCAUUACCUGUGUCUCUGAUCUGUAGAGGAUUUUCAGCAUGUUGCAAUUUGGUUUUACCAUGACAUUUUAACUGUUUUGUGUAUGCUGAAGCUUGAAAGGUUAGAGUUUGGUGAUAUCAAUUAUCAAAUGCACAAGGCAAGUGGAAAGUGCUACCACAUGGCAUGUGUCUUAAUCACUUUCUUAUGUCUUUCAUCUAGUAUCACCUCAUGAAUCAUGAUUUUAUAGUUGCCAAUUUUGUCUUGGUUUGCUUGCAAACUCAUUGCAGACGUUACUACUUGCUAUUAAAAUAUAUAUGGAAUCUGGGCCAAGCUGUUCUCAUGAUACUGGUUUUCCCCUGAAUCUGCAGGUUGUUUUGUGAAUUUCGAGUUCGCGAAUCACACAAUAAUCACAAGCAAAUGCAAAGGACCCAAUUAUCCACCCAAAGAAUGUUAUGGGGCAUUCAAAGAAUUUGCAUGCCCUUACGCCGAUGUGUUGAACGAUUUACAGAAUGAUAUUUAUUUGAGAAUUCAAGAAAGAACUGGGCUGAUUCCUGGUGUAGAUGAACAUGAACUUCAGGAUAAAGUAGACAAAACAUUCAAAUGAUGUUGCACAAGUUCCAGGGGGAGAAAUGAAAUCUGAGCAAGGUAUAAUGUUGCUAUGUAUGUGUUCAUGCAUACAAAGAAAGUGGGACUACUUUGGAAGCAGAGUUUAUAUGAACUUUCCCAAAAGAACUCAUGUAUAAGUGUUAGGGCAUUAUUUUGGAGAACAAAUUCUGGUGACUGCAUUGUUUGGUUCACACUAUCACAAUGUUGAUUUGCUAUUUGCAAUGUCUGGUCAAUACUUUAAAUGUUCAAAAAAUAUAGAAGUGAUAAGAGUCUAACACUCUUCUUAUGAUAUUUUUCAGGGGCUAAUGACUUUGGUCAACUAGGUAAUAGAACUGAGGAGUGAAGGAAACAUCUAAAGAAAGUAAAGCCAUUAGAGUUAGAGUUUGUAAAAUUUGUGUCUUGUAUAAUUCUUAAUUCUCUUAGAAAUUCAUUUUUGUUAUUGUUUGUAAAUUUCAUGUACGCAGCUGUUGCAUGUAUACAGAUGACAUUGUUGUAAGCUUUUACCAAGUAUUGAAUGAAGGAACAUAAAUUUGAGUGCUCCUA